rnacentral:pre_miRNA from 1 species
AGGCAAAAUUCUCCUAUCUUUGAGGACACAGGCGAAUCCUCUAUUCUCUCUUCUGCACUGCCGCCUCGUAAAUCACUACUGUGAUGUGGUGUGAGCAAAGAAGAAUAGAGGGUCCCCAUGUUCUCAUAANUUGGACUGAGUNUUAC